CUUCCACUUUAACAAUGUGAGAAUUCUUUCUCACUCUAUUGUCUAACACGCAAGCUAUUUAUAACAAUCAUCCACUUAGCUUGUAAUGUUAGAUCCCAUUAUUUCACACAUAAUGAAAAAUUUCUUUGAUUUAAACUUUUUCUUAGUGUAAGUAUUUCAAAGUUUUAAAGAAAUUAUGGUGACCUUAGCUUAACCUGAAUUCCUAUUAAAUAAAACUAAAAAAUACUACAGACAUGAACCAAUUAGUUCGAAUCAAAAGUUCACCAAAAUUUCAGCACUAAUAUGGCUUUGUGUUACCUCCUGUUUUCAUAAACAUUUACAAACUUUAUUUUAACUUUUUGUUGAAGCGGUUCCACUUCUUACGUUCAUAUAGGUGAAAUUCAUUUGUAACAAUAUUAAACUUUAUUAAAAGUAUAAAUACUCAUCCUCAUUCCAUUAACUUAGUACACUAAGUACGUAAUUACAAAAUUUACUAAUGACUUGUUGUUACCUUUAAACUUUAUUUAGUAAUAA
rnacentral:misc_RNA from 1 species